AAGCCUAUACUUUCUAGGAUCAUUUCUAUAGUUCAUUACUAGAGAAGCUUCUUUGAUCCUGUAGAGCAUCAAAACCUGUAGGAGGAGUCAGAGCAUCCUUUCCUGAGUGUGAAACCUGUUGAAGGUGUUUCUUUUGCAACGGUCUUUUACCAUUUAUCAUUGUUCUUCUCUUUCCUUUGAAGAUUGAGAGAGAAACAAUGCAUCUGA